AUUACAUUAGGCUUGUAGCAAUUGGCAGAAAAUGUGCUGGUAUGUUAUAAUUCUAUGGCAGAGCUUUAUAUCUAUGAUGUCACGAGUGCUCCAUACUCUUUUGUGGACUGGCCAAGAUUCUCCAGGCAUAAUUAAUUCUCAUGGGAAGCUAUUAAUUUCAAGGGAUAUCACCACUAUGACAUUGCUCUUCUUGGCCGGAGAGGAUGGUUCUGAGCUAGAGGUUAGCUACUAA
rnacentral:lncRNA from 1 species